UCCUGCCCAGUGACAUAGUUCAACGGCCGCGGUAUCCUAACCGUGCAAAGGUAGCAUAAUCACUUGCCCAUUAAUUGUGGGCUAGAAUGAAAGGACCAACGAAAUAAAAACUGUCUCUAUAAGUUACACAAAAAUUAAUCUCUAACUGAAGAGUGUUAGAUUACAUCGAAGGACAAGAAGACCCCGUAGAGCUUCAUUUUAACAGAGACCAGCUCUCUUCUAAGAUUCGGUUGGGGCGACCAAGGAUAUAUCAAUCAUCCUAAAUUAAAAGAUUAAUUAAUCCAAAAAAGACCCUUAAACAAGAUCAUAAAAACAAGCUACCUCGGGGAUAACAGACUAAUCCCGCUAGAGAGUCCUUAUCAACAGUGGGGGUUGGCACCUCGAUGUUGGCUUAGGGUAUCUAUACAGCGCAAAAGCUGCAUAAAGAUGGUUUGUUCAACCAAUAACACCCUACAUGAGCUGAGUUCAGACCGGCGUAAGCCAGGUUAGUUUCUAUCCACGACAAAACCUCUGCCUAUAGUACGAAAGGACCUAGGUAAGAAUAAUUAUUAUAAAACUAGAAUAAAUAUAAUAUUAAAUAAUCCCCACUAAACGUAAACUACGA
rnacentral:rRNA from 3 species